rnacentral:rRNA from 1 species
UUCCACGUCUUCCGCGCCGCAGCUAACGCAUUAAGUGCCCCGCCUGGGGAGUACGUCCGCAAGGCUAAAACUCAAAGGAAUUGACGGGGGCCCGCACAAGCGGCGGAGCAUGCGGAUUAAUUCGAUGCAACGCAAAGAACCUUACCAAGGCUUGACAUGUGCCGGACCGUCCCAGAGAUGGGGCUUCCCUUCGGGGCCGGUUCACAGGUGGUGCAUGGUUGUCGUCAGCUCGUGUCGUGAGAUGUUGGGUUAAGUCCCGCAACGAGCGCAACCCUCGUUCCAUGUUGCCAGCACUUUAAGGUGGGGACUCAUGGGAGACUGCCGGGGUCAACUCGGAGGAAGGUGGGGACGACGUCAAAUCAUCAUGCCCCUUAUGUCUUGGGCUUCACGCAUGCUACAAUGGCCGGUACAAAGGGUUGCGAUACUGUGAGGUGGAGCCAAUCCCAGAAAGCCGGUCUCANUUCGGAUUGGGGUCUGCAACUCGACCCCAUGAAGUCGGAGUCGCUAGUAAUCGCAGAUCAGCAACGCUGCGGUGAAUACGUUCCCGGGCCUUG